UACAGAGGGUGCGAGCGUUAAUCGGAAUUACUGGGCGUAAAGGGUGCGUAGGUGGUUUUUUAAGUCGUUUGUGAAAUCCCCGGGCUUAACCUGGGCAUGGCGAACGAGACUGGAAGACUAGAGUAGGGUAGAGGGAAGUGGAAUUUCCGGUGUAGCGGUGAAAUGCGUAGAUAUCGGAAGGAACACCAGUGGCGAAGGCGGCUUCCUGGACUCAUACUGACACUGAGGCACGAAAGCGUGGGGAUCAAACAGG
rnacentral:rRNA from 1 species